rnacentral:lncRNA from 1 species
AGCUGCAGGAGGACUCUGGCUGUUGGCGGUCACCGGGAGGCGUUGUACUGCCCCGGCGGCGGGCCGGCCACCUUCGCGGCUGCCACUGCCUAGCCCAGCCACUUCGGCAGCCAGUCACAGAGUCAGCUGUCUCCUCUGUGCGCCGCCCACGCCAAGUAGUUUGCAAUGCGGUUGCUAAGCCUGGCUAUUUUUAGAUCUCAAGAAUACGUGGUGCUGGAGCUCAGCUAAAACCCAGUCAAACCACCGAACACAGUGAUGUGCUUCUCUUUGAACAGAUACGUCUCAGAACUCCAUAUUUCCCUGAAGAAAGUCGGUUAUCUUCACUUUUUAAAGUCCUACCCCAUGCGGUGUAGCAGUGGGCUGCAAAGCGGAAAGCCACACGCUCCCACCUCAAAGAUGGUCAUCACCUCUCUAAAGAAGAGCCCUAACUCUCGCGGCCCUGAUUGAGGGCAGGCAGAUAUUCCUUAGCAGCAGUCAUAACUAUAUACUUUUCAUUUCCGUUCACCAUCUUUAGAAUUAAUUCCACAAUAAAGUCGAACAAUUCCCAGAAGGGAAUUCUCUAAGAAAGCAGAUGAGAAUGGAGUUUUCUGCUGAUUUCUGUACGUAGUAGGGUAACUUGUGCUAAGAACCCCACGAACACAAAAACAGGAUAACAAAGCCAUCCAUUAAAAUCUGGAGACACUGAAGAACUACUUUACAUGCCCCGUCGCUGUAGGACCUGUUUAACUGUCUCAAAGUACUAGUGCUAAAAACAAUUGACCCAGUAUUACAGAUGUCUUUUUACUCGGUAACUUCUGAAAGACACCUCGUCUCGCGUUGCCCACCUCACCACCUCCACCCCAGCACCUAUGCAAAUGCAACAUCAUAUUAUGCAAGUAAUCUCCGGCAGCGUUAGCCAACAAUUCAUCUAUUAAUAUCAGAAAAUAAAACCAGCUAUUAAGGUGCAGCAAGCGGUUACGAGUGAGCAGCAGCAUCCGUCCCUUCACAGGCCUCUAUUUGCAUUGUAAAUUGCUUCAUUCUCACGCAAGACUCUUUAGCCUCCCUCUAUAGAGACGUAUAAAGCCAACGGCAAUUUCCAGCGCAGGGGGGAAGAUCCUCGAUUUCACAGGGCUUCUAGGCUGGGGAGGAGAAGAUGCCGUCUUGCUGGCGUGCUGCUGCCCCCGGUCUGAAAGAAGGAGAAAAGGGCCAUCAUUGGAGGGGCUUUCACGGCCAAAAUGUGGACCAGCCCGGCAAGGUCAAAGGUUCGAGACCGCGGGAGACCAAGGUAAUGAUGAUGUCAUGAGAAAUCU